rnacentral:sRNA from 1 species
GAUUUGAGAGGAAAUGAUGUUCUCAGAUGAUCAUCAUCAUGGAUGAUGAAGAUUCAGUGUACCUGUCAUACAGCUUCCUCAAGAAGAAAACCAAAGCAACGGAACAGGGCCGACUGGCAUCUAUUUCAAGAAAAUAUUGAUAAAAUAGAAGACAUCUUGAAAGUGUCUAUUAAAAGCAUACAUCAUGUAUUUGGUAAAACUGACCCAAGCUUGUCAACACUUAGAAAUACUGCAUCUUAGGCUGGUUGAAGAUUAGAAAAAAAAAUAACAAUACAUUUAAAAACGGUAUUGCAGUGAAAGUUUUGGACUUUCCAGGUGAGGAAGAAGUCCUUGGGCUGUCCGAGCAGGGCAGGCAGGGAAGGAAAAUCCGAUUGUCCUCAGACCUUCACCAGAGCCAAGGAAAGGAACUGUGAAUCGAGGGUUUGGUCGCCAGCCAAAUUGAUCUUCUGAGAAUAAAGGCUGCAGACAGAUGGUAAUGAACGUGCCAGGGCUCGAGAGGAUUGUUCAUUCCUGGAGAACAGACCUUGGCUGGCAGACACUGGGCGCUGGCGGGCACAGUGCGUGUCCCUGUGAGCAUCUCUGCACUUCAGAGCAGGGCCCUGCAUGUUCAUCCUUAGAGUCAAACAGGCUGGGACUCAGAGAGAGACCUGUGGCGGCCUUUUUCUACGAGCGUAAUUUGGUACAGGCCAUGGUGUUUCUGUUGGCAUUGGCCAAAUAUGAUUUUGAGUAAAAUCAUUGGUCGAGGCUUUGAUCGAGGCCAUUACUGUCCAAUAGAAAUAGAACGCAAGUCAGAUCCGUAAUUUGAAAUUUUCCCAUAGUCUCAUUAGAAAAGGAAAUAGGUGAAGUUAUUUUUAAUAACAUACUUAAUCCACUGUAUCCCCAUAUUAAUUCACCACGUCAUUCCUAUGGCAAUAUAAUUGAGGUGGGUAUUUGCUAGUCUGUUUCGUCCUACUCAGUCUUUGAAAUCUGGUGUCUCAUGUAGCGCGCCUCAGGUGGGAGCAGCUGUGCUCUGGCCCCGGCUGCCAUGUUGGACAGUGCAGCCUGGGCGAGCUCCAGAGCAGCGCACGUGAGGGCUUGCAAGGCCUGUGGGAACAAGUGCACCUGCCCUGCCACCCAUGCAUGCCUUUCAGUGACUCCAGGCACCUCAGAGAAAGCUGGCUCAGCUCCAAUGCCCAGGGAGAUGUAGCUGCCGGCUGGGUUAUACUGCAGGGCAGGGCCGGGGCUCAGCGGGCACAUGGGGGGAAGAGUGGCAGUAGCAGGCCACACGUGCACUCUGCCCCACAGGGUGCUGGACAGCAGGGGUAGGUGGCGUGGAGGUGACUGCAGUGGAGAAAGGUAUGACCCAGUGGGGGUGACUGUGAAAAGGUGGGGUGCCAAGAAGCAAGCUCAUGUCACCUGUCAGAGCCUACGCUCAUUGGGGGCUGCCUCCGUGCAGCCCUGCCAGGGACUGUGAGGCCUGGGUGGGAUCAGAGGCCACUCGGCGCCUCCUUCCUGCCUGGACCAGCUCUGUCACCCACCCCUGUCUUUGGUGCCACAGGAGCUGGAUGGCCUGUUGGAAAUCAACCGCAUGACCCACAAGCUGCUGAGCCGGUACCUGACGCUGGACAGCUUCGAUGCCAUGUUCCGGGAGGCCAACCACAACGUGUCAGCGCCCUACGGGAGGAUCACCCUGCACGUCUUCUGGGAGCUCAACUAUGACUUCCUGCCCAACUACUGCUACAACGGCUCUACCAACCGGUUUGUUCGGACAGUGUUACCAUUUUCUCAGGAAUUUCAAAGAGAUAAGCAGCCUAAUGCACAGCCUCAGUAUCUGCAUGGAUCCAAGGCUUUGAACUUGGCCUACUCCAGCAUUUACGGCAGCUACCGGAACUUCGUGGGACCUCCACACUUUCAAGUCAUCUGCCGGCUUCUCGGCUACCAGGGUAUCGCCGUGGUCAUGGAGGAGCUGCUGAAGGUCGUCAAGAGCCUGCUGCAAGGCACAAUCCUGCAGUACGUGAAGACGCUGAUGGAGGUGAUGCCCAAGAUCUGCCGCCUGCCCCGGCACGAGUACGGCUCUCCCGGUAUCCUGGAGUUCUUCCACCACCAGCUGAAGGACAUCGUGGAGUACGCAGAGCUGAAGACGGUGUGCUUCCAGAACCUGCGGGAGGUGGGGAACGCCAUCCUCUUCUGCCUGCUCAUCGAGCAGAGCCUGUCUUUAGAAGAAGUGUGUGACCUGCUGCACGCGGCUCCUUUCCAGAACAUCUUGCCGCGAGUCCAUGUGAAAGAGGGGGAGAGACUUGAUGCCAAAAUGAAAAGACUAGAAUCAAAGUACGCCCCACUGCAUCUUGUCCCACUGAUUGAAAGACUGGGGACCCCUCAGCAAAUUGCCAUCGCAAGAGAGGGGGACCUGCUGACAAAGGAGCGCCUCUGCUGCGGCCUGUCCAUGUUUGAGGUCAUCCUGACACGGAUCCGGAGCUUUCUGGAUGACCCCAUCUGGCGCGGGCCUCUGCCCAGCAAUGGGGUCAUGCAUGUGGACGAGUGUGUGGAGUUUCACAGACUGUGGAGUGCCAUGCAGUUUGUCUACUGCAUUCCCGUGGGGACACACGAGUUCACAGUCGAGCAGUGCUUUGGUGAUGGGCUACACUGGGCUGGCUGUAUGAUCAUCGUACUUCUUGGGCAGCAGCGGCGUUUUGCUGUGCUGGAUUUCUGCUACCAUCUACUUAAAGUCCAGAAACAUGAUGGCAAAGAUGAGAUUAUUAAAAAUGUGCCUUUGAAGAAGAUGGUGGAGAGAAUUCGCAAGUUCCAGAUUCUCAAUGAUGAGAUCAUCACCAUCCUGGAUAAGUACCUGAAGUCAGGCGACGGGGAGGGCACGCCAGUGGAGCAUGUGCGCUGCUUCCAGCCGCCCAUCCACCAGUCCCUCGCCAGCAGCUGAGGGCACGCGCUGCACUCCGUAACUCAACAUGGCAUGCCUUUCUCUCCGUAAACUAUUUAGUGAGAUUUUUAGGGACUAUUUUUCAGUAUCUCUGUACCUGUUAAAGGGGGUGCUUUUCAAUCUAAAAACUGAAUUUUAUAAAAUUGACUUAUUUUUCUAGACUAAAAUUGUAUAUGCUUUUGGUAAUUAGGAACUCUUGAGAAUAUUGGCUGCUGAUGGUUGCCAUCACGUUCCUAAAAAUUGUUUUUCUAUGGGAUGUUCUGGCAGCUGUGUCAUAAAAUGCUGCUGGGUUCAUUCAUUCAUUCCAUAAGAAACUUAAUACCAGCAAAUGCAUUAAAUCCCUUGCCAGUUACCAUUAACUGUAACUAUUUAGCUUUUGUUUAGGGAUCUUUCUGAUGGUCUUUUAUGAGCAAUCUUAGUUCUAAGUCAUUGUUCCCAUCCCUUUUUUGUGUGUUUCAGAAAAUAGUGAACUUGAUUCCCCUGCUUCCACUAAAUCCAGUUGUGACAAAAUCUAACGUGACAUCAGAUCGAAAGGUUAUAGAAAUAAAACUAAUGAGAUCU